UACGUAGGUGGCAAGCGUUGUCCGGAAUUAUUGGGCGUAAAGCGCGCGCAGGCGGUCCUUUAAGUCUGAUGUGAAAGCCCACGGCUCAACCGUGGAGGGUCAUUGGAAACUGGGGGACUUGAGUACAGAAGAGAAGAGUGGAAUUCCACGUGUAGCGGUGAAAUGCGUAGAGAUGUGGAGGAACACCAGUGGCGAAGGCGACUCUUUGGUCUGUAACUGACGCUCAGGCACGAAAGCGUGGGGAGCAAACAGG
rnacentral:rRNA from 1 species